rnacentral:tRNA from 1 species
GGCCUUGUGGUCUAGUGGUAUGAUUCUCGCUUAAGGUCCACCCUAAUGCAAAAGUUUGCGAGAGGCCCCGCGUUCGAGUCGUAGCAAGACCC